AAAAAAGUGAAACAGCAACAACCAUGAAUUUCAACGCAUUAUUCCGGACACUCGCAUUUUCCACUCGAGUCAUCGUGAUUUCUUCCGUGACAGUGGAAUCAAUAUCUAUGAAUUUCGACCUAAGCGGGCCGAGUACGAUUUUUGGUUCCUCAACAAGUACAGAAAAUGUUGAUCUUGCAACAAAAUUCUCCCCCCUUAACGGCGACAAUGACGAUAUUAGUGCUUUGUCCAUGAAACGAGAAAUCGAAUCAUAUCUUCUGUCAAUACGAUCUCGCAUCUCUCCUGAAACAUACGAUUAUUUAUCAACAGAUGUACUAUCGGAAGUCGAUCUCAUUCGAUAUUCGAUCCGUAAAACAAAUAACUCAUCUUUGACGUUUAUCACGAAAAUUAUCUACGAAGUAAAUCAGCUUUUGGAUUCAAAUACACUUCCUGAGAGAUAUAUUCCUUAUGUUCGAGCUCUGAGAUCAAUUCUUAAGAUUCAGAUUAAGCUUGCAAGCUGUACGGGAGACAUUUCCGAAAUUCAGAGGAAAUGUCUGGCAAACCCAAAGCACAGUUCAUCCAUACCAUCUGAUAUAUCAUCACCACCAGAACUAUCUGGCACCGGAUUAUUUUCUUAUGACAUCUUCUCCGAUCCCAAUCCGCCUCUCCGUCUUCUCAAUAAAUUAGUCCGUAUUCCAAAAAAAAGUAUUCCAAAUUUGAGAACUCGUUUGAAAAAUUUCACACGUAGAGUAGAAAAGUCAUACAAAUACGCUCGCCAGGUAUGGUGGCCAUACACUUGGUAUGGCUCUUCUUUAAGCGGACUUCUUGAUGAUGAAUCCUUUUUCGACGGUUUAAAACGUGACUUGAACCAUCUUCCACUUGUAUCAAUUGCAGCAAUAGAAUCAAUCAACAAUGAAAUGAUUGAAAAUAAGGCAAAUUGACCAGCUUUUUUAUUUCCAUCGUAGUUAUCAUCAGUCAUCAGAUGGUCGCUAUACCUACCAUUGAUACUACAAUAACUGAAAAUUUUGAACUCGUAUAAACAUAUUGGAAGCAAGGCAAACUCAAAUUCAAAUUCAAUAAGUGACACUCACCGAUACAAUCAAAAACUCGCCCAUAUUACCAGUAUUGUGGCCAUUUAUACACACAUUUGUAUGUAAAUAAAAUGUUAUUACCAGA